AGGAGCAAAAAGAAGAUACUCUUUAUUUUCAACUUUUACGUUUCCCUGUUACUGUCCUUUGGCUACCCGUGUCUCAUCCCUGCUCCUGACGCAUUGCUGAGCUGUCCCACGAGCAGGACUGUGGUGGGAGCAGUCGGCAUGGCUGGAUGACAUGUCACUGCCUUUUCCUGCACAAUGACAGGAUUUGGAGGAUUUGGGUGGUCAGCCCUGGGUGAGAGGAAGGAUCACCUCCAGCCAUAGACAUUGAACCCACUGGACCCAGCUGGCUCCAAGGAGGCUUCUUCAGGCCAGGCAGAGCUCGGGAGGGCCCUUGUGGCACUGGAAGCAGGUGAGGCAACUGGGAGCUGCCAGCAGAAGCCAGGAGUGAUGUUGAUUCCCCAUUGGAACGGUGAUAAGUUGUCCUUCCCACCCACUCUACCUUUGGCAUCUGCUUCAGGGCUGCAGGAGCCCUACAGCUGCUGCCAUUGGGGCAGUCUCUUGCUGGAAGGAGAAGACUGAUAGAAGAUGGGGACCCUCCUCUUGGAGGGGUUCCAGGGCCACCCAGGCAAGCAGUUUCUGCUGUGUCCAGGAGGGGAGGAACUGCAGAUACUGCCCUGGGCACAGGGACCUGCUGCCACUGGCUACUGCAGCUCUCCUGGGGCUGGUCCCACUCUGCAGGGUUGGACACAGAUCAGGGACAGCUGGGACACCCAGGGGAGACUGAUGUCUAAUGUACCAGCUUCAUCCUCCACACUGGAGCCUGCAGGGCUGGUGGUGCCAAUCCUCUCCCAGAAACUGCUCGCUUCGGAGCUGCUGGAGCUGAGCCUGGCUCUGGUCACAGGACUGUUGUUGACCAGAGCACAGCAGCCUCUUGGCCUUCUCACUCUCUGGCAACCCCAACACUGCUGAUGCUGUGGGUCAGAGGUGCUGUGUCCUUGUCCAGAAGAGGCUGCAGUGUCUGGAGGAAGACAACCAGACCACAGAGGUGCAGGAUGCAGCUCCCUGUCCUCCGCCAGCCACCACCAAUCCCAGUAGAUUCCCUCCAGCUUGUGUCACGGGCAGAAUUGCUCAGGGUCCAGGAGAAAUAAGGAACUACCACUUUCUUGUUUGAAACUGCUGCAUUUCUGUAUUGCUCUCCCUUGGUCACCUUUGUCACAUAUCCAUGGCACUGUGUCUCACUCCUGAUAUAUUGCCAAGGUCUCCAGGGAGCAGGAAUGCCUGGGAGCAGCCAGCAUGGGCUGUCUGCAGAUGGGUGACCCUUCUGCCCCUCACUGCCCUGGCCUGGGAAAUGCUGGCAUUCAAGGACCUGGGGGAUGGGUGGCCCACCCUGGGAGAGAGUCUCCCCACCAUGGCUUGUGUCCCUGCUGCAGGGAGAAGUAGAAAGGAAGGGUUUGCUCCAACACCAUCCACUCCUGCUGGCAUUUGCCCACAGUCUGUUUCUGCUUUCCAAGUCUCCAUGUUCCUGGAAAUUGGUGCCUGGUGUUCCUCAAAAGUACCAACAACAGAAUCUGGCCACACAGCAGCAGGAAUGGGCUGGAGUUGCUGACUCUCCAGUGCGGGGUACAACUCCUGGAAAACCCAGCAUCCAUUAGCACAUUUGGCCCUAGAAUCUCAAAUUCCUUCUUGCCUCCGGCUGUCGUCAUCAUUUGGAGUCAUGAGCACUUCAGGCACUUCUUUCUCCCUGGGAAGAGCACUCCCAGCCCCAGGCCUGGCUGCUGGGAGCCCACGGUGCUCUGUGCCUGCCCCACAUGGCUCUGCCCAGGAACAUCUCCUCAGGUGACAGUCCCUGGUCUCCAUUCAUGCAGCUUCUGCUCUGCCUCGCUGGGAGAGGCCAUCACCUCCAGCCAUUGUAGGCCAGUCCCUGCACAAAAGAUUCCCCUUCUUGUUUUUAAAGUCAGAGUUUGUUCCCUCUGCAGCCCCACUGCAUUCAGGGCACUUG